GACGAACGCUGGCGGCGUGCUUAACACAUGCAAGUCGAACGGAAAGGCCCUGCUUUUGUGGGGGGCUCGAGUGGCGAACGGGUGAGUAACACGUGAGUAACCUGCCCUUGACUUUGGGAUAACUUCAGGAAACUGGGGCUAAUACCGGAUAGGAGCUCCUGCUGCAUGGUGGGGGUUGGAAAGUUUCGGCGGUUGGGGAUGGACUCGCGGCUUAUCAGCUUGUUGGUGGGGUAGUGGCUUACCAAGGCUUUGACGGGUAGCCGGCCUGAGAGGGUGGCCGGCCACAUUGGGACUGAGAUACGGCCCAGACUCCUACGGGAGGCAGCAGUGGGGAAUAUUGCACAAUGGGCGGAAGCCUGAUGCAGCAACGCCGCGUGCGGGAUGACGGCCUUCGGGUUGUAAACCGCUUUCGCCUGUGACGAAGCGUGAGUGACGGUAAUGGGUAAAGAAGCACCGGCUAACUACGUG
rnacentral:rRNA from 1 species